CCCCCCGUAGCUCAGCGGAUUAGAGCGGUGGUUUCCUAAACCAUGUGCGCAGGUUCGAUUCCUGCCGGGGGGACCA
rnacentral:tRNA from 1 species